rnacentral:tRNA from 1 species
GAUUGGCUCAAUUGGAUAGAGCAUCGGCCUCCGGAGCCGAAGGUUGUGGGUUCGAGUCCCGUAUCU